GAUGAACGCUGGCGGCGUGCCUAAUACAUGCAAGUAGAACGCUGAAGGAAGGAGCUUGCUCUUUCCGGAUGAGUUGCGAACGGGUGAGUAACGCGUAGGUAACCUGCCUGGUAGCGGGGGAUAACUAUUGGAAACGAUAGCUAAUACCGCAUAACAGUAGAUAUUGCAUGAUAUCUGCUUGAAAGGGGCAAUUGCUCCACUACCAGAUGGACCUGCGUUGUAUUAGCUAGUUGGUGAGGUAACGGCUCACCAAGGCGACGAUACAUAGCCGACCUGAGAGGGUGAUCGGCCACACUGGGACUGAGACACGGCCCAGACUCCUACGGGAGGCAGCAGUAGGGAAUCUUCGGCAAUGGACGGAAGUCUGACCGAGCAACGCCGCGUGAGUGAAGAAGGUUUUCGGAUCGUAAAGCUCUGUUGUAAGAGAAG
rnacentral:rRNA from 1 species